GAUGAUCCAAAAGUUUUCAAAGUCAGGUGGAGGCUGAAUGUCGAAUCGAGAUAGAGAUUGUUGGAGUUUAAUGCUUUAAAUUUGACUGAUAGAAGAAAAAUCCAGAUGCAGAGAAGCCCAGCACGCAGUGCAUGAUGCGAGGAGCUCAAAAAUAGGCUCAGAGAUGUAGUGCAUGAUGCAAGGAGCUCAGAAAUAGGCCCGUAGACACAGC
rnacentral:lncRNA from 1 species